AGCAGCAGCCACGGGAACACGGAGGGUGCAAGCGUUAAUCGGAAUUACUGGGCGUAAAGCGCACGCAGGCGGUCUGACAAGUCAGAUGUGAAAUCCCCGGGCUUAACCUGGGAACUGCAUUUGAAACUGUCAGGCUGGAGUCUUGUAGAGGGGGGUAGAAUUCCAGGUGUAGCGGUGAAAUGCGUAGAGAUCUGGAGGAAUACCGGUGGCGAAGGCGGCCCCCUGGACAAAGACUGACGCUCAGGUGCGAAAGCGUGGGGAGCAAACAGGAUUAGAUACCCCUGUAGUCCCUGUCUCUUAUAC
rnacentral:rRNA from 1 species